rnacentral:rRNA from 1 species
GACGAACGCUGGCGGCGUGCUUAACACAUGCAAGUCGAACGCGCCUGUCCUCUGGGUUUCUGGGGGGUGGGUGAGUGGCGAACGGGUGAGUAACACGUGAGUAACCUGCCCCCUUCUUCGGGAUAACGGUCUGAAAGGGCUGCUAAUACCGGGUAUUCACUGGUCUCCGCAUGGGGUCUGGUGGAAAGGUUUUUUUCUGGUGGGGGAUGGGCUCGCGGCCUAUCAGCUUGUUGGUGGGGUGAUGGCCCACCAAGGCUUUGACGGGUAGCCGGCCUGAGAGGGUGACCGGUCACAUUGGGGCUGAGUUACGGCCCAGACUCCUACGGGAGGCAGAAGUGGGGAAGAUUGCAGGAUGGGCGCAAGACUGAUGCAGCGACGCCGCGUGAGGGAUGGGGGCCUUCGGGUUGUGAACCUCUUUCGCCCGUGGUCAAGCCGCGACGUGGGUCGUGGUGAGGGUAGUGGGUAAAGAAGCGCCGGCUAACUACGUG